rnacentral:rRNA from 1 species
UCAAGUAAUUAAGUGCAUGUGGUGGAUGCCUUGGCAGUCAGAGGCGAUGAAAGACGUGAUAGCCUGCGAAAAGCUCCGGGGAGGCGGCAAAUAUCCUUUGAUCCGGAGAUGUCUGAAUGGGGGAACCCACCUACUUUAAGGUAGGUAUUGCAACAUGAAUACAUAGUGUUGCAAGGCGAACGAGGGGAAGUGAAACAUCUCAGUACCCUUAGGAAAAGAAAUCAAUUGAGAUUCCCUCAGUAGCGGCGAGCGAACGGGGAUCAGCCCAUUAAGUUAUGUGUGUUUUAGUGGAACGCUCUGGGAAGUGCGAACGUAGAGGGUGAUAUUCCCGUACACGAAAGGGCACACAUAAUGAUGACGAGUAGGGCGAGGCACGUGAAACCUUGUCUGAAUAUGGGGGGACCAUCCUCCAAGGCUAAAUACUCCUGACUGACCGAUAGUGAACCAGUACCGUGAGGGAAAGGCGAAAAGAACCCCUGUGAGGGGAGUGAAAUAGAUCCUGAAACCGCAUGCAUACAAGCAGUGGGAGCACCUUCGUGGUGUGACUGCGUACCUUUUGUAUAAUGGGUCAGCGACUUAUAUUCAGUAGCGAGGUUAACCGUAUAGGGGAGCCGUAGAGAAAUCGAGUCUUAAUAGGGCGUUUAGUUGCUGGGUAUAGACCCGAAACCAGGCGAUCUAUCCAUGAGCAGGUUGAAGGUUGGGUAACACUAACUGGAGGACCGAACCCACUGUCGUUGAAAAGCCAGGGGAUGACUUGUGGAUAGGGGUGAAAGGCUAAUCAAGCCUGGUGAUAGCUGGUUCUCCCCGAAAGCUAUUUAGGUAGCGCCUCGGACGAAUACCAUAGGGGGUAGAGCACUGUUUCGGCUAGGGGGUCAUCCCGACUUACCAAACCGAUGCAAACUCCGAAUACCUAUGAGUACUAUCCGGGAGACAGACUGCGGGUGCUAACGUCCGUAGUCAAGAGGAAAACAAUCCAGACCGCCAGCUAAGGCCCCAAAAUCAUAGUUAAGUGGGAAACGAUGUGGGAAGGCAUAGACAGCUAGGAGGUUGGCUUAGAAGCAGCCACCCUUUAAAGAAAGCGUAAUAGCUCACUAGUCGAGUCGGCCUGCGCGGAAGAUGUAACGGGGCUAAAACUAUGUGCCGAAGCUGCGGAUGUAUACUUUGUAUACGUGGUAGGGGAGCGUUCUGUAAGCCGAUGAAGGUGUGUUGAGAAGCAUGCUGGAGGUAUCAGAAGUGCGAAUGCUGACGUGAGUAACGACAAAACGGGUGAAAAACCCGUUCGCCGAAAGACCAAGGGUUCCAGUCCAACGUUAAUCGGGGCUGGGUGAGUCGACCCCUAAGGCGAGGCCGAAAGGCGUAGUCGAUGGGAAAAUGGUUAAUAUUCCAUUACUUCUGUGUAAUGCGAUGAGAGGACGGAGAAGGCUAAAUCAGCCUGGCGUUGGUUGUCCAGGUGAAAGGAUGUAGGCAUGUAUCUUAGGCAAAUCCGGGGUACUCUAUGCUGAGAUCUGAUAGCAAGCUGUACUUGUACAGCGAAGUGGUUGAUGCCAUGCUUCCAGGAAAAGUCUCUAAGCUUCAGUUACACAGGAAUCGUACCCGAAACCGACACAGGUGGUCAGGUCGAGUAGACCAAGGCGCUUGAGAGAACUCUGCUGAAGGAACUAGGCAAAAUGGUACCGUAACUUCGGGAGAAGGUACGCUGUUGUUGGUGAUGGAACUCGCUUCCUGAGCUGACGACAGCCGCAGAAACCAGGCCGCUGCAACUGUUUAUUAAAAACAUAGCACUCUGCAAACACGAAAGUGGACGUAUAGGGUGUGAUGCCUGCCCGGUGCUGGAAGGUUAAUUGAUGGGGUUAGCGUAAGCGAAGCUCUUGAUCGAAGCCCCAGUAAACGGCGGCCGUAACUAUAACGGUCCUAAGGUAGCGAAAUUCCUUGUCGGGUAAGUUCCGACCUGCACGAAUGGCAUAAUGAUGGCGGCGCUGUCUCCAGCAGAGGCUCAGUGAAAUCGAAAUCGCUGUGAAGAUGCAGUGUACCCGCGGCUAGACGGAAAGACCCCGUGAACCUUUACUGCAGCUUGACACUGAACUUUGACCUUACUUGUGUAGGAUAGGUGGGAGGCUUUGAAGCUGGAACGCUAGUUCCAGUGGAGCCGUCCUUGAAAUACCACCCUGGUAAUGUUGAGGUUCUAACUCUGUCCCGUGAUCCGGGACGAGGACCGUGUCUGGUGGGUAGUUUGACUGGGGCGGUCUCCUAAAGAGUAACGGAGGAGUACGAAGGUGCGCUCAGCGUGGUCGGAAAUCACGCGUAGAGUAUAAAGGCAAAAGCGCGCUUAACUGCGAGACCCACAAGUCGAGCAGGUACGAAAGUAGGUCUUAGUGAUCCGGUGGUUCUGUAUGGAAGGGCCAUCGCUCAACGGAUAAAAGGUACUCUGGGGAUAACAGGCUGAUACCGCCCAAGAGUUCAUAUCGACGGCGGUGUUUGGCACCUCGAUGUCGGCUCAUCUCAUCCUGGGGCUGAAGCAGGUCCCAAGGGUAUGGCUGUUCGCCAUUUAAAGAGGUACGCGAGCUGGGUUUAGAACGUCGUGAGACAGUUCGGUCCCUAUCUACCGUGGGCGCUGGAAAUUUGAGAGGAUCUGCUCCUAGUACGAGAGGACCAGAGUGGACGAACCUCUGGUGUACCGGUUGUGACGCCAGUCGCAUCGCCGGGUAGCUAUGUUCGGAAGGGAUAACCGCUGAAAGCAUCUAAGCGGGAAGCCUACCUCAAGAUAAGAUUUCCCUAGGACUUUAUGUCCUCUAAAGAGCCGUUCGAGACUAGGACGUUGAUAGGUUGGAUGUGGAAGCAUAGUGAUAUGUGAAGCUGACCAAUACUAAUUGCUCGUGAGGCUUGACUA